UGGAAGACAGACUGUCCACUGAGUGGUUC
rnacentral:piRNA from 1 species